rnacentral:rRNA from 1 species
AGUAACGCGUGGGUAACCUGCCUUAUACAGGGGGAUAACAGUCAGAAAUGGCUGCUAAUACCGCAUAAGCGCACAGAGCUGCAUGGCUCGGUGUGAAAAACUCCGGUGGUAUAAGAUGGACCCGCGUUGGAUUAGCUUGUUGGUGGGGUAACGGCCCACCAAGGCGACGAUCCAUAGCCGGCCUGAGAGGGUGAACGGCCACAUUGGGACUGAGACACGGCCCAG